AAGCGGUCGCUAAGGGACAAUAAAUAUUAGAAAGUCCGUUCCGUCCGUGUUAAGCUGCUAGCUGGUUGCUAACGCUAGCUUGGACUUGUUGGGAAUUUCCAUUUUUCUUCAAGAAGCGAGAUUGCUCGCAUGGCUCUAGUACAAGGCACCAAGUCCGACUCCAUGAUAAGGAGAAUGAUGUCAUCUGCUCUAACCAACGCUGUGGCCUCUUAAUUCAACUGGGCAGGGAAGAAGGACAAACGCUGUACAGCCAAGAAGCCAUUCAAGGAAAUACUCAUGCAAGACUACAUGUUUGCUGCUGUUCGGCAGUUUGACUGCAGAUUGACACACCAGGUCUUCAGCGAUAUUGUGAAGAAGUGGCUGUGAGAUGCUCUAUAUCGGCAGGGAGGCAUCAAGCCUAAUAAAACGUAGGCUCCACCACACACGUGUUCCUUAAAACCUGUAAAAGGUUUACAGGUUCAUUGACAAUAGACUGUUGUUUUUGUUUGUUUAUGGUUCAUGUUUAUGGUUUAUGGUUCAUUCAGUUCAGUUUUGAAAUAUCUGUAUUGGAUCUAAAAUGUUUUUAAGAAAUAAAGAUGAAUAUUAAAA
rnacentral:lncRNA from 1 species